ACGCUAAUACCGGAUGAUGUCUUCGGACCAAAGAUUUAUCGCCUAUGGAUGGGCCCGCGUUGGAUUAGCUAGUUGGUGAGGUAAAGGCUCACCAAGGCGACGAUCCAUAGCUGGUCUUAGAGGAUGAUCAGCCACACUGGGACUGAGACACGGCCCAGACUCCUACGGGAGGCAGCAGUGGGGAAUAUUGGACAAUGGGCGAAAGCCUGAUCCAGCAAUGCCGCGUGAGUGAUGAAGGCCUUAGGGUUGUAA
rnacentral:rRNA from 1 species